CGACGCUACGCGAAGAACCUUACCUGGCUUGACAUGCUUGAGAAAGGACCAAGAAACUGGUCCCCCCAUGACCGCAAGGUCAUGGCUCAUCCGACAGGUGCUGCAUGGUUGUCGUCAGCUCGUGUCGUGAGAUGUAAGGUUAAGUCCUUGAACGAGCGCAACCCCUUUCGUCAGUUGCAAACCAGCAAUGGCGCACCCUGACGAUACUGCCAGCUAAAAGUUGGAGGAAGGAGGGGAUGACGUCAAAUCCUCAUGGCCUUUAUGUCCAGGGCUACACACAUGCGACAAUGGUCGGUACAACGGGUUGCAACACCGCGAGGUGAAGCCAAUCCCUAAAAACCGACCUCAGUUCAGAUUGCAGACUGCAAUUCGUCUACAUGAAGAUGGAGUUGCUAGUAACCGCGGGUCAGCUACACCGCGGUGAAUAUGUUCCCGGGCCUU
rnacentral:rRNA from 1 species